UAGAAUUGACGGGACCCGCACAAGCAGUGGAGCAUGUGGUUUAAUUCGAUGCAACGCGAAGAACCUUACCCAGGCUUGACAUGCAGAUGACCGCUCUAGAAAUAGAGUUUCCUUCGGGACAUUUGCACAGGUGCUGCAUGGCUGUCGUCAGCUCGUGCCGUGAGGUGUUGGGUUAAGUCCCGCAACGAGCGCAACCCUUAUCAUUAGUUGCCAACAGGUGAAGCUGGGAACUCUAAUGAGACUGCCUGGGUUAACCAGGAGGAAGGUGAGGAUGACGUCAAGUCCGCAUGGCCCUUAUGUCUGGGGCUACACACGUGCUACAAUGGUCGGUACAGAAGGCAGCGAAACCGCGAGGUGAAGCAAAUCCAACAAAGCCGAUCUCAGUUCAGAUUGUAGUCUGCAACUCGACUACAUGAAGACGGAAUUGCUAGUAAUGGCGAGUCAGCAACAUCGCCGUGAAUACGUUCCCGGGUCUU
rnacentral:rRNA from 1 species